rnacentral:rRNA from 1 species
GACGAACGCUGGCGGCGUGCUUAACACAUGCAAGUCGAACGCUGAAGCUCAGCUUUUGUUGGGGGGAUGAGUGGCGAACGGGUGAGCAACACGUGAGUAACCUGCCUCCUUCUUUGGGAUAACGCCCGGAAACGGGUGCUAAUACUGGAUAUUCACUGGUCUUCGCAUGGGGGUUGGUGGAAAGGGUUUUUCUGGUGGGGGAUGGGCUCGCGGCCUAUCAGCUUGUUGGUGGGGUGAUGGCCUACCAAGGCUUUGACGGGUAGCCGGCCUGAGAGGGUGACCGGUCACAUUGGGACUGAGAUACGGCCCAGACUCGUACGGGAGGCAGCAGUGGGGAAUAUUGCACAAUGGGCGCAAGCCUGAUGCAGCGACGCCGCGUGAGGGAUGGAGGCCUUCGGGUUGUGAACCUCUUUCGCUCAUGGUCAAGCCGCAACAAUGGUUGUGGUGAGGGUAGUGGGUAAAGAAGCGCCGGCUAACUACGUG